GCCGGGAUGGCAGAGCGGACUAAUGCGCAGGCCUUGAGAGCCUGUGGCCCUUUGUGGGCCGCGUGGGUUCAAAUCCCACUCCCGGCGCUA
rnacentral:tRNA from 1 species